AUAAAAUAAAAUUGGAAUGAUACAGAGAAGACUAGCUGGCCCCUUCCCAAGGAUGACACAAAUUCAUGAAACGUUCCAUAUUUUA
rnacentral:snRNA from 1 species